GGGCCUAAUUGAUUUUAUAAUUGGGUUAGGAUCUAAUUAGUUAGUUUGUUAUAACUAAUUCCUAAAUUGAUUAGGAUUGGAUCUAAGGGUUAGUUAGAAUUGGAACAGGAUCUUGAGUCCAAUGUGGAAUAGGACUUAACCAACUAAAAUACCCCAUGUGAUAUAUUCUCCACACCCCACUUUUUAUCAUGAGAAUUUCUCAUGGCCCAUAGGAUG
rnacentral:lncRNA from 1 species